AUGUGUAUCCCAAAGGAGAAAGGCGGUAUGGGCUUUCGUGACAUUCAUAGUUUCAACCUGGCGAUGCUAGCCAAACAAUGUUGGAGAUUGAUUGAAAAUUAUGACUCUUUGUGUGCUAGGGUGAUGCGUGCAAGAUAUUACCCCUCAGGGGAUAUUCUGAACAGUACGGUAAAGAAAUGGUCUUCUUUUGUUUGGCAAAGCAUUUAUGCGGGGAUUCAGACUUUCAAGAAAGGAUGCAUAUGGAGAGUUGGAGAUGGUAUGAAAGUAAACAUAUGGAAUGAUUGUUGGAUACCAAAGAGUCCUUCUCGGAAAAUUAUCACAGUCCACAGAAAUUGUGUCUUGAUGCUUGUGAAUGAGCUUAUAGAUCCUAUCACUGACAAUUGGGAUGAAUCGUUAACUCGUGAAAACUUUUGGCACAUUGAUGCGGAGAGUAUAUUGCAGAUCCCAUUACCACACCAUGAGAUAGAUGAUUUUGUUGCGUGUCAGUUUACGAGGAAUGGUGUAUUUACUGUACAUUCAGCUUACUAUAAAGAAUGGGAAGAUCAAUUUGGAACCAAAGUGGGUACUGACGGAGGACAAACCAGUAAUCUAAACCAUCCUGUGUGGAAGAAGCUUUGGAGUCUCAAGUUGCCGGGAAAGGUUAAAAUCUUCGUAUGGAGAUGUUUACAUAAUACAAUUCCAUUCCUGAGCACUUUGGCGAAUCGUCACAUCCCAACGCAGUGCCCCGUGUGCCAAGGUGCAGCGGAAGAUUCACGCCACGCGUUAUUCACAUGUAGACGGGUAAAGAUGAUCUGGAGAGCACUGGGUUUGCAUGAAAUGAUAGAGGAUGCGGCCCUAGUAGAUCGUUCGGGCGCAGCGAUAUUGGAAUUCCUUCUGUGUGACAGGAAAUUUCAGGAACCAUAUGAUGGACAAGUGGGUUUUCCUAUAAUGUUUGCAGUAACUUGA
rnacentral:rRNA from 1 species